rnacentral:rRNA from 1 species
AUGUCCGGGGGAGAGGAAGGCGAAGGGCGCAAGGUGUCUCGCGAGGACAUACAGCUCGUCCAGAAUCUCAUCGAACGUUGUCUUCAGCUUUACAUGAACCAGAAAGAAGUGGUUGAAACUCUAUCUUUCCAGGCGAAAAUAGAACCCAGCUUUACUGAGCUCGUCUGGCAGAAACUUGAAGAAGAGAACCCUGAGUUUUUCAAGGCAUAUUAUGUGAGGUUGAUGCUUAAGAAUCAAAUAAAUGUGUUCAACAAGCUCCUUGCGCAUCAGUGUCGUCUUAUGAAUAAAGAUCCUUCUGGAGCGCUUUCAAUUACCCCUACUGCCCCUAAUGGCUCUGACUCGAGCACAUUGAACCAAAAUACAUGUUUUUUACAAGACACUACUAGCACUGCAAUUCCAGAUAGCUUCCUACACAAUGGAAAUUCUAGUGGUGUAAUAAAUGGCGCUCCUGCUACUGACCAGUUUAUCUAUGGUGGUAAAGUUGUCCAUGGUCUUCCUAGUGGUAUGGAUGCUUCAGUUAGUCUACUAUCAGCGCAUAAUUCGACUGGUGGACAGUUUAAUGGAGACAAUGGCACAACAAUGAAGGCAGAGUCUAGCUUUUCGAGCAAUCCAGAGUUUGCAUUCUGCAAUGAGAACACUUACCUAGAGCCUUGCCAAUCAAUUGGGGAUGCCUCUGGUGGGUCCUUUAGUAGCUCUGAACUGAAUGGGCAACCACUUGGUGAUACAAUUCUUGACAUGGAUACGUCAUCAUAUGGUUUCUUGAGCCAGAUUCCUCGCAAUUUCAGUUUCUCAGAUUUAACAGAGGAUUUCAGUCAUAGUACAGAAAUAUUAGAAAAUUAUGGCAGAUCCCCUUUCAUCCCUUCUGAGACGAACAACUUCUCAGAGUCUACUGCUGGAGGACACACAGAAAUAGGAAAUAUACGGCUAGAUUCCAUAUCUGAGGGUGUUAGUUAUGAAGAUUUUGGAAGUGAUUAA